rnacentral:rRNA from 1 species
UCAAGCUAAUAAGAGCACAGGGUGGAUGCCCAGGCACCAAACGCCGACGAAAGACGUGGCAAGCUGCGAAAAGUCACGGGGAACUGCAAGCAGGUAUUGAUCCGUGAACGUCUGAAUGGGGAAACCCGGCGGGUUAACAGCCCGUCACUAUUAACUGAAUCAAUAGGUUAAUAGGGGGAACGCGGGGAACUGAAACAUCUCAGUACCCGUAGGAAGAGAAAAUAAAGAAUGAUUUCCUAAGUAGCGGCGAGCGAACGGGAAAGAGGCCAAACCGAAGGGCUUGCUCUUCGGGGUUGUGGAUCAGCGAUAAGUACGGAAGACCUUAGCAGAAGAGGAUUGGAAAGUCCCGCCAGAGAGGGUAAAAGCCCCUUACGCGAAAAGGUCAAACGACGAGCUGACACCAGAGUACCGCAGGACACGAGAAAUCCGGUGGGAAGCCGGGAGGACCACCUCCCAAGCCUAAAUACGAAUUGGUGACCGAUAGCGCAUAGUACCGUGAGGGAAAGGUGAAAAGAACCCCGGGAGGGGAGUGAAAGAGAACCUGAAACCGUAUGUCUACAAGCAGUCGGAGCGAAAGCGACGGCGUGCCUAUUGAAGAAUGAACCAACGAGUUACGUGCACUAGCGAGGUUAAGUGGAAGACACGGAGCCGAAGCGAAAGCGAGUCUUAAGAGGGCGGAUAGUUAGUGUACGUAGACCCGAAACCGCAGUGAUCUACCCAUGUCCAGGUUGAAGCGCAGGUAAAAUUGCGUGGAGGACCGAACCUGUGAGCGUUGAAAAGCUUUAGGAUGAGAUGUGGGUAGAGGUGAAAUUCCAAUCGAACGCGGAGAUAGCUGGUUCUCCCCGAAAUAGCUUUAGGGCUAGCCUCAAGUAGUAAGUAUAGGCGGUAGAGCACUGAUCGGGCUAGGGGCCAUAAAGGUUACCGAACCCUGUCAAACUCCGAAUGGUUAUACUGUAGAGCUUGGGAGUCAGACUACGAGUGAUAAGAUCCGUGGUCAAAAGGGAAACAGCCCAGACCACCAGCUAAGGUCCCCAAUGUCGUACUAAGUGGAAAAGGAUGUGGGGUCUCUAAAACAACCAGGAUGUUGGCUUAGAAGCAGCCACCAUUUAAAGAGUGCGUAAUAGCUCACUGGUCGAGAGACCCUGCGCCGAAGAUUACCGGGGCUAAAGUACGAAACCGAAGCUGUGGCUACGACGUAAGUCGUGGGGUAGGGGAGCGUUCUGUGAGGGCUGAAGUCGUUCUGUAAGGAACGGUGGACUUCACAGAAGUGAGAAUGUUGGUAUGAGUAGCGAAAAGAAUGGUGAGAAUCCAUUCCACCGAAAGCAUAAGGAUUCCUGGGCAACGAUCGUCGUCCCAGGGUAAGUCGGGACCUAAUCCGAGGCAUGGAGCGUAGGAGAUGGACAACUGGCAGAUAUUCCAGUACCGGUAAUGAUUGUUUGAGCGAUGGAGUGACACAGGAGGGCAGGCAGGCAGGAGAUUGGUUGUUCCUGUACAAGCGUGUAGGAUGGGACGUAGGCAAAUCCGCGUCCUGUGAGUCUGAGGCGUGAUGUGGAGGUUCCGGAAACGGAACUGAAGCUGCUGACCCCACACUGUCGAGAAAAGCUUCUAGUUAGAGAAUUACCGCCCGUACCGUAAACCGACACAGGUAUGCGGGGAGAGAAUCCUAAGGUGCGCGGGAGAACCCUCGUUAAGGAACUCGGCAAAAUGUACCCGUAACUUCGGGAUAAGGGUAGCCGCUGUUGUGAAGUCUGAACAGACGGAGCAUGAGGCGGUCGCAGAGAAGAGGCCCAAGCGACUGUUUACCACAAACACAGGUGCCUGCUAAAGAGAAAUCUGACGUAUAGGUGCUGACACCUGCCCAGUGCCGGAAGGUUAAGGAAGGAUGUCCGGAGCAAUCCAAAGCAUUCGACCGAAGCCCCGGUGAACGGCGGCCGUAACUAUAACGGUCCUAAGGUAGCGAAAUUCCUUGUCGGGUAAG